CGGUCUUCAACUUUGAGAGUGUAGCUUGCGUUGUAUUAGCUAGUUGGUGAGGUAAUGGCGUCGACCAAGGCAACGAUGCAUAUCCGAGCUGAGAGGCUGAUCGGACACACUGGGACUGAGGACACGGCCCAGACUCCUACGGGAGACAGGCAGUUAGGAAUAUUCGGUCAAUUGGAGGAAAACUCGUGAACGAGCAAUGCCGCGUGAGUGAUGAAGGUCUUAUAGAUUGUAAAAACUCUGUUGCAAAGGAAGAAAUCUUAUUAUAGGUAAUGAUAAUAAGUUGACGGUACUUUGCCAGAAAGCCCCGGCUAACUACGUGCC
rnacentral:rRNA from 1 species